rnacentral:rRNA from 1 species
AUACGGAGGGUGCAAGCGUUACUCGGAAUCACUGGGCGUAAAGCGCGCGCAGGCGGUCUUUUAAGUUGGAUGUGAAAGCCUACGGCUCAACCGUAGAACUGCAUCCAAAACUAUUAGGCUAGAGUGUGGGAGAGGAAGAUGGAAUUAGUUGUGUAGGGGUAAAAUCCGUAGAGAUAACUAGGAAUACCAAAAGCGAAGGCAAUCUUCUGGAACACUACUGACGCUGAGGCGCGAAAGCGUGGGGAGCAAACAGGAUUAGAAACCCCGGUAGUCC